rnacentral:rRNA from 1 species
UACGUAGGGUGCAAGCGUUGUCCGGAAUUCUUGGGCGUAAAGAGCUCGUAGGCGGUCUGUCGCGUCUGCUGUGAAAACUCGGGGCUUAACCCCGGGCCUGCAGUGGGUACGGGCAGACUAGAGUGCGGUAGGGGAGACUGGAAUUCCUGGUGUAGCGGUGAAAUGCGCAGAUAUCAGGAGGAACACCGGUGGCGAAGGCGGGUCUCUGGGCCGUAACUGACGCUGAGGAGCGAAAGCGUGGGGAGCGAACAGG